CCUACGGGUGGCAGCAGUGAGGAAUAUUGGUCAAUGGGCGGGAGCCUGAACCAGCCAAGCCGCGUGAGGGAAGAAGGAACAGCGUAUUGUAAACCUCUUUUGUCAGGGAAUAAAGGCGGGAACUAGUUCCCGGAUGAGGGUACCAGAUGAAUAAGCAUCGGCUAACUCCGUGCCAGCAGCCGCGGUAAUACGGAGGAUGCGAGCGUUAUCCGGAUUUAUUGGGUUUAAAGGGUGCGCAGGGGGCAUGUUAAGUCAGCGGUAAAAGUACGGGGCUCAACCCAGGAGGGCCGUUGAAACUGGUGGACUUGAGUAUGUGUGAGGUAGGCGGAAUGCGCGGUGUAGCGGUGAAAUGCAUAGAUAUCGCGCAGAACCCCGAUUGCGAAGGCAGCGUACCAGC
rnacentral:rRNA from 1 species